CGAACGGAGAUAACCAUGUAGCAAUACUUGGUUUUCUUAGUGGCGGACGGGUGAGUAACGCGUGAGCAAUUUGCCUCAGGGUGGGGGAUAACAUCGGGAAACCGAUGCUAAUACCGCAUACGACGUCGAGAGGACAUCCUCUUGCCGUGAAAGGAGCAAUCCGCCCUUAGAUGAGCUCGCGUCCCAUUAGCUAGUUGGUGAGAUAACAGCCCACCAAGGCGAUGAUGGGUAGCCGGACUGAGAGGUUGGCCGGCCACACUGGAACUGAGACACGGUCCAGACUCCUACGGGAGGCAGCAGUGAAGAAUAUUGGGCAAUGGGCGAAAGCCUGACCCAGCAACGCCGCGUGAGGGAAGAAGGUUCUCGGAUUGUAAACCUCUGUCCCAUGGGACGAACACAAUGACGGUACCAUGGGAGGAAGCCCCGGCUAACUACGUGCCAGCAGCCGCGGUAAUACGUAGGGGGCAAGCGUUGUCCGGAAUUAUUGGGCGUAAAGGGUGCGUAGGCGGCCUUUCAAGUCGGAUGUGAAAUCCCCGUGCUUAACAUGGGAAUUGCAUUCGAAACUGGAGGGCUUGAGUGUGGAAGAGGUAAGUGGAAUUCCCAGUGUAGCGGUGAAAUGCGUAGAUAUUGGGAGGAACACCAGUGGCGAAGGCGACUUACAGGGCCACAACUGACGCUGAUGCACGAAAGCGUGGGGAGCAAACAGGAUUAGAUACCCUGGUAGUCCACGCUGUAAACGAUGGAUACUAGGUGUAGGAGGUAACACCCCUCCUGUGCCGCAGCUAACGCAUUAAGUAUCCCGCCUGGGGAGUACGGUCGCAAGAUUGAAACUCAAAGGAAUUGACGGGGGCCCGCACAAGCAGCGGAGCAUGUGUUUAAUUCGAAGCAACGCGAAGAACCUUACCAAGGCUUGACAUCCCCUGAUCGCCGUGGAAACACGGCUUCCCUUCGGGGCAGGGAGACAGGUGGUGCAUGGUUGUCGUCAGCUCGUGUCGUGAGAUGUUGGGUUAAGUCCCGCAACGAGCCCAACCCUUACACUUAGUUACCAGCGGGUAAAGCCGGGGACUCUAGGUGGACUGCCGGGGACAACUCGGAGGAAGGUGGGGACGAUGUCAAAUCAUCAUGCCCCUUAUGUCUUGGGCUACACACGUGCUACAAUGGCUACUACAAAGGGACGCAAGACCGCAAGAUGGAGCAAAACCCAAAAAAGUAGUCCCAGUUCGGAUUGUGGGCUGCAACCCGCCCACAUGAAGUCGGAGUUGCUAGUAAUCGCGGAUCAGCAUGCCGCGGUGAAUGCGUU
rnacentral:rRNA from 1 species